CACGGAGCAGCAAGGUUACUUCAUGCACAGACUAGUUCACUAGGGCAAAGGUCAGGGACUCUGACUGGACUCGUUGUUAGGCGGAAUUCAGAGGCAUAAUAGCCAGGAAUAAUGGCGUUUAAGCGCCAUAAGGAGGAUUAUCUCACCAUGCAGGGCAUGCAAACUAACGGACGAAGUCGCAAAGGUGGAACGUUUGAUGAAACACAAAACUCAGGCAAACUCUGGCGAGAGGACCUUUGACUCUUGCUACAUCUACUGUCUUCCGGAUACAGGCGCGGCUAUCAAAAUAAAAGCCUCAAACAAG